GUGCUCGCUUUGGCAGCACGUGUGGUCAAAUUGGAACGAUGCAGAGAUCAGCAUGGCCCCUGCACAGGGACAACGCAAGAUGCUGAAGCAUUCGAUUAAAAA
ensembl:snRNA U6 U6 spliceosomal RNA